AACAACAUGACCUCCAAGACAGGGUCACCGUACCACUCUGUAGCAGUACGCGACCUUGUCGACCUACGAGGUUUGUAGUAGCUUGAUCAGAAGCUUAAUGAUCACAAUCAUUAGUUUCCACUUCAAUUUGCGUAGGCGCCACAUGAACAAAUUCCUGCGCCCUGCUACACACUAGUUGAAGUGAUGGUUCAAUAACCUCAUCAAGUUCCACCAUCCUCCCACUCAGUUCUUUCGAGAGAAACUUUUCCUCGAGAAAGGACCCGUUUCUAGAAACAAACACUUUGCUUCCGGAUCUGAGAUAGGAGGUAUACCCAACUAUUUUGGGUGUCCUAUGAAGAUGCGUUUAUCCGCUCUGGGUUCGAGCUUAUCAUGCUGAAACUUUUCCACAUGAGCAUCGCAGCCCCAAACUUUUAAGAAACGACAGCUUAGGUUUCUCCAAACCAUAGUUCAUACGGUGUCAUCUCAACGGAAUUACGUGGUACCCUAUUUAAAGUGAAUGUGGUUGUCUCUAAUGCCUAACCCAAAACGAUAGUGGUAUUUCGAUAAGAGACAUCAUAGUAUGCACCAUAUCAAAUAGGGCGCGGCUAUGACAUUCAGACAAACCAUCACACUAUGGUGUUCUAGGUGGCAUGAACUGCAAAACAAUUUCCACAUUGUCUUAACCGUGUACCAAAACUCGCAGCUCAGAUAUUCAUCUCUAUGAUCAUAUCGUAGACAGUUUAUCCUCUUGUCACGAUGAUCUUCACUCUGGAAUAGCUUUGAACUUUUCAAUAUUUCAGACUUGUGAUUCAUCAAGUAAAUACUCAUGUAUCUACUCAAAUCAUCAGUGAAGUGAGAACAUAACGAUAUCCACUGCGUGCCUUAGCACUCAUUGGACUGCACAUAUCAAAAAUCUAUUGCAUCCAACAAGUUACUUUCUUGUUCCAUGUGGUAUGAUUUUGCAUGUCUCAAGUGAGUUAAAAUCAAGUGAUUCCAAACGAUCCAUCUGCAUGGAGUUUCUUCAUGCGUUUAUACCAACAGGUAUGGUUUCCAUGUCUCAAACGUUUCAAAAAUGAGUGAGUACAAAGAUCCAUAAGCAUGGAGUUUCUUCAUGCAUUUUACACCAACAUGACUCAAGCGGCAGUGCCACAAGUAAGUGGUUCUAUCAUUAUUACUUUGUAUCUUUUGGCACCACUAUUAUGAAUAUGUGUAACACUACGAUCGAGAUUCAAUAAAUCAUUGAAGGUAAUUAUUCAAGAAAAUAGAAUAACCAUUAUUCUCUUUAAAUGAAUAAUCGUAUUGCAAUAAACACGAUCCAAUCAUGUUCAUGCUCAAAGCAAACACCAAAUAACAAUUAUUUAGGUUUAACACCAAUCCCGAUGGUAGAGGGAGCGUGCGAUGUUUUGAUCACAUCAACCUUGGAAACACUUUCAACACGUAUCGUCACCUCGCCUUUAGCUAGUCUCCGUUUAUUUCGUAGCUUUUAUUUCGAGUUACCAAUCACUUAGCAACCGAACCGGUAUCUAAUACCCUCGUGCUACUAGGAGUACUAGUAAAGUACACAUCAAUAUCAUGUAUAUCAAAUAUACUUCUGUUGACUUCGCCAGCCUACUCAUCUACCAAGUAUAUAGGGUAGCUCCGCCUCAGUGACCGUUCACCUCAUAACAAAAGCACUUAAUCUCGGGUUUGGGUUCAAUCUUGGGUUUCUUCAUUAGAGCAGCAACUGGUUUGUCGUUUCAUGAAGUAUCUCUUCUAGCCCUUGCCCUUCUUGAAACUAGUGGUUUUACUAACCAUCAACAAUUGAUGCUCCUUCUUGAUUUCUACUUUCGUAGUGUCAAACAUUGUGAAUCGCUCAAGGAUCAUCAUAUAUAUCCUUGAUAUGUUAUAGUUCAUCACGAAGCUCUAGCAGCUUGGUGGCAGUGACUUUGGAGAACCAUCACUAUCUCAUCUGGAAGAUUAACUCCCACUUGAUUCAAGCGAUUGUUAUACUGAGCACAUGCUCAACGAUUGAGCUUUUCUCCUUUACUUUGUAGACAAAGAAUCUUGUUGGAGGUCUCAUACCUUUCAACAAGGGCACGAGCAUGAAAUCUCAAUUUCAUAUCUUAGAACAUCUUUUAUGUUCCGUGACGUUUCAAAAUGUCUUCGGCGUCUUGCAUCUAAGCCAUUAAGUAUUACGCACUGAACUAUCACGUAGUCAUGAAAAAUGUGUAUGUCAGAUGUUCGCAACAUCCACAGACGACGCUUGAGGUGCAGCACACCGAGUGGUGCAUUAAGGACAUAAGCCUUCUACGCAGCAAUGAGGACAAUCCUCAGUUUUACGUACUCAGUCCGCAAAGUUACUACUAUCAUCUUUCAACUAAAUUUUCUCUAGGAACAUAUAAAAAAACAGUAGAGCUAUAGCGCAAGCUACAUCAUAAUUCGCAAAGACCUUUUGACCAUGCUCAUGAUAAUUAGUUCAAUUAAUCAUAUUACUUAAGAACUCCCACUCAAAAAAUACAUCCCUCUAGUCAUUUCAGUGGUGCAUGAUCCAAAUCCACUAACCCAAGUCCGAUCAUCACGUGAGUUGCGUAUAGUUUCAGUGGUAAACAUCUCUAUGCUAAUCAUAUCAACUAUAUGAUUCAUGCUCGACCUUUCGGUCUCUUGUGUUCCGAGGCCAUGUCUGCACAUGCUAAGCUCGUCAAGUUUAACCCGAGUGUUCCGCGUGUGCAACUGUUUUGCACCCGUUGUAUGCGAACGUUGAGUCUAUCACACCCGAUCAUCACGUGGUGUCUCGAAACGACGAACUGUCGCAACGGUGCAUAGUCGGGGAGAACACAAUUUUAUCUUGAAAUUUUAGUGAAGGAUCACGUUAUAAUGCUACCAUCGUUCUAAGAAAGAUAAGGUGCAUAAAAGGAUUAACAGCACAUGCAAUUCAUAAGUGACAUGAUAUGGCCAUGAUCUUGUGCUUCUUGAUCUCCAUCACCAAAGCACCGACAUGAUCUUCAUCGUCACCGGCACCACACCAUGAUCUCCACCAUCGUGCCGCCAUCGAGGUUGUCGUGCUAUAUACGCUAUCACUACUAAAGCUACAACCUAGCGAUAUAGUAAACGCAUAUGCAAACACAAACGUUAGUUUAAAGACAACCUUAUGGAUCCUGCCAGUUGCCGUAGCAUCGACGUGCAAGUCGAUAUUUAACUAUUACAAAAUGAUCAUCUCAUACAUCCAAUAUAUCACAUCAUGUCUUUGGCCAUAUCACAUCACAUGCAUACCCUGCAAAAACAAGUUAGACAUCCUCUAAUUUGUUGUUGCAUGUUUUACGUGGCUCCUAUGGGUAUCUAGUAUGAUCGCAUCUUACUUACGCAUAGCCACAACGGUAAUAUGCAAAUUGCUAUUUAACCUUUCUCCAAGGACCGCCUCGGUCAAAUCCGAUUCAACUAAAGUUGAAGAAACAGACACCCGCCAGUCAUCUUUAUGCAACAAGUUGCAUGUUAGUCGAUGAAACCGGUCUCUUGUAAGCGUACGAUUAAGGUUGGUUUGGGCCGCUUCAAUCCAACAAUACCGCCGAAUCGAGAAAAUACUAAGGAGGGCAGCAAAUUGAACAUCAAUGCCCACAAAAACUUGUUUGUUCUACUCGAGAUUACAUCUACGCAUGAACCUAGCUCAUGAUGCCACUAUUGGGGAACGUUUCAUGGGAAACUAAAAAAUUCCUACACACACGAAGACCUAUCAUGGUGAUGAUCAUCUACGAGAGGGAGAUCGGGUCCACAUACCCUUGUAGAUCGCUAAGUGGAAAUGUUAAGAAACGUGUAUGAUGUAGUGGUAUGUCUUCACGAUCCGUCCCACGAACCGUCUCACGAUCCGUCCCGAUCAAGUGUUGAACGGACGGCACCUCCGCGUUCCGCACACGUACAGCUCGAUGACGAUCUCCGCCUUCUUGAUCCAGCAAGAGGGGCGGAGAGGUAGAUGAGUUCUCCAGCAUGGCGAUGUGGUGGUGGUGUUGGUGGUGCUAUUCCAGCAGGGCUUCGCCUAAGCACCGCUGAAACUAGAGGAGAAACAGAUCUAGAGAGAGAGGGCAGCACGUGGCUGUUUCUGUUGUCCAAAAACCCUCAAAACCCUUAGUAUAUAUAGGAGGAGAGGAGGGAGAGGGUUGCGCCCUAGAGCAACCUUCUCUUCCCUUGCGCAAGGGAGAGGAGGAGGAGUCCUACUCCAAUCCUAUUUGGAGUAGGAUUCCUCCUUCCCACUUGGAAACUCUUUCCACCUUGUGUUUUUCCUUCUCAAACCUUAUGGGUCUUAGUGGGAACUUAUUCGAGCCCACUAGGGGAUGGUUUAUCUCUUGCCACAGCCCAUAAGGCCUCUUGGGGCGUGACACCCCUCCCGAUGGUCCCCGGCACACCUCCCGGCACUCCCGGUACACUACCGAUGAGCCCGAAACUUUUCCCGUGACCAAAACAGGACUCCCUAUAUAUCAAUCUUCAUUUCCGGACCAUUCUGGAAACCUUCGUGAUGUACGGGAUCUCAUCCGGCACUCUGAACAACCUUCGGUCACCAACACAUAUAACUUAACUAUACCGAAACAUCACCGAACUUUAAGUGUGUAGACCCUGCGGGUUCGAGAACUAUGUAGACAUGACCUGAGACACUCUUCGGUCAAUAACCAACGGCGGGACCUCGAUGUUCAUAUUGGCUCCUACAUAUUCUACGAAUAUCUCUAUCGGUUGAACCUCUAUGUCAAGGAUUAAUAUAAUCCCGUAUACUAUUCCCUUUGUCCUUCGGUAUGUUACUUGCCCGAGAUUCGAUCGUUGGUAUCUCCAUACCGAGUUCAAUCUCGUUACCGGCAAGUCUCUUUACUCGUUCCAUAAUACAAGAUCUCGUGACUAACUCCUUAGUCAUAUUGCUUGCAAGGCUUGUUGUGAUGUUGUAUUACCGAGUGGGCCCCCUAGAUACCACUCCGUCACAUGGAGUGACAAAUCACAGUCUUGAUCCAUGCCAACCUAAUAGACACCUUUGGAGAUACGUGUAGAGCACCUUUAUGGUCACCCAGUUAUGUUGUGACGUUUGAUACACACAAGGCAUUCCUCCGGUGUCCGGGAGUUGUGAUACGUCCAUUUUGCAUCAUGUUUUCAUGUUGAUAUUUAUUGCUUCUUGGGAUGUUAUAUUACUUGUGGUGCCAUAUUUAUGCCUUUUCGCUCUUAUUUUGCAAGGAUUAUUUGAAGAGGGAGAAUUCAGGCAGCUGGAAUUCUGGACUAGAAAAGGAGCAAAUCCUAGUCCACUAUUCUGCACAUCUCCAAAUGCCCUGAAAAUUUUCGUGGAUUUUUUCUAGAAUAUAUUAAAAAUACUGGGCGAAAGAACUACCAGAGGGGGCCACCAGGGCCCCACAAGCUUGCCCACCGCCGCCGCCCCCCUGGUGGCGCACGGCAGGCUUGUGGGCAGCCCACUGGCCCACUAGCCCCCCUCUUUUGCUAUAUGAUGCGUCCUGACCUGGAGAAAAUCAUACAGGAGCUUUUUCGUGGUUUCCCCGCCGCCACAGGGCGGAACUUGAGUAGAUCCAAUCUAGAGCUCCGGCAGGACGAUCUUGUCGGGGAAAUUUCCCUCCCGGAGGGGGGAAUCAUCACCAUCUUCAUCACCAACACUCCUCUCAGCGGAGGGGAGGCAUCUUCAUCAACAUCUUCAUCGGCACCAUCUCUUCUCCAAUCCCUAGUUCAUCUCUUGUAACCAAUCUUCGUCUCGCAACUCAGAUUAGUACUUGUAAGGUUGCUAGUAGUGUUGAUUACUCUUUGUAGUUGAUGCUUGUUGGAUUACUUGGUGGAAGAGUUUAUGUUCAGAUCCUUGAUGCUAUUCAUUACACCUCUGGUCAUGAUUAUGAUUAUAUCUUGUGAGUAGUUACUUUUGUUCCUAAGGACAUGGAAUAAGUCAUGCUGAUAAUAGUCAUGUGAAUUUGAUAUUCGUUCAGUAUUUUGAUAUGAUGUAUGUUGUUUUUCCUCUAGUGGUGUUAUGUGAACGUGGACUACAUAACACUUCACCAUAUUUGAGCCUAGAGGAAGGCAUUGUGAAGUAGUAAGUAGAUGAUGGGUUGCUGGAGUGACAGAAGCUUAAACCCCAGUUUAUGCGUUGCUUCGUGAGGGGAUGAUUUGGAUCCACUAGUUUAAUGCUAUGGUUAGACUUUGUCUUAAUUCUUCUUUUGUAGUUGCGGAUGCUUGCUAGAGAGGUUAAUCAUAAGUGGGAUGCUUGUCCAAGUAAGGUCAGUACCCAAGCGCCGGUCCACCCACAUAUCAAACUAUCAAAGUAACGAACGCGAAUCAUAUGAACAUGAUGAAACUAGCAUGACAGAAAUUCUCAUGUGUCCUCGGGAGCAUUUUUCCUCCUAUAUGACUUUGUUCAGGCUUGUCCCUUGCUACAAAAGGGAUUGGGCCACUUGCUGCACCGUUGCUACUACUUGUUAUUUGUUACUCUUUGCUUGCUACGUUUCACCUCGCUACACAAUCACUUGUUACCGCUACUUUCAGUGCUUGCAGUUAUUACCUUGCUGAAAUUCGUUUAUCACAGCCUUCUGCUCCUCGUUGGGUUCGACAAUCUUACUUAUAGAAAGGACUAUGAUUGAUCCCCUAUACUUGUGUUGGAAAUAUGCCCUAGAGGCAAUAAUAAAUUAGUUAUUAUUAUAUUUCUUUGUUCAUGAUAAUCGUUUCUUAUCCAUGCUAUAAUUGUAUUGAUUGGAAACACAGUGCAUGUGUGGAUACACAGACAAAACACAGUCCCUAGUAAGCCUCUAGUUGACUAGCUCGUUGAUCAAAGAUGGUCAAGGUUUCCUGACCAUAGGCAAGUGUUGUCACUUGAUAACGGGAUCACAUCAUUAGGAGAAUCAUGUGAUGGACUAGACCCAAACUAAUAAGACGUAGGAUGUUGAUCGUGUCAUUUUGUUGCUAUUGUUUUCUGCGUCUCAAGUAUUUGUUCCUAUGACCAUGAGAUCAUAUAACUCACUGACACCGGAGGAAUGCUUUGUGUGUAUCAAACGUUGCAACGUAACUGGGUGACUAUAAAGAUGCUCUAUAGGUAUCUCCGAAGGUGUUCGUUGAGAUAGUAUGGAUCGAGACUGGGAUUUGUCACUCCGUGUGACGGAGAGGUAUCUCGGGGCCCACUCGGUAAUACAACAUCACNNNNNNNNNNNNNNNNNNNNNNNNNNNNNNNNNNNNNNNNNNNNNNNNNNNNNNNNNNNNNNNNNNNNNNNNNNNNNNNNNNNNNNNNNNNNNNNNNNNNNNNNNNNNNNNNNNNGGUAAACGAGAUUGAAAUAGGUAUGCGGAUACUGACGAUCGAAUCUCGGGCAAGUAACAUACCGAAGUACAAAGGGAAUGACAUACGGGAUUAUAUGAAUCCUUGGCACCGAGGUUCAAACGAUAAGAUCUUCGUAGAAUAUGUAGGAUCCAAUAUGGGCAUCCAAGUCCCGCUAUUGGAUAUUGACCGAGGAGUCACUCGGGUCAUGUCUACAUAGUUCUCGAACCCGCAGGGUCUGUACACUUAAGGUUCGACGUUGUUUUAUGCGUAUUUGAGUUAUAUGGUUGGUUACCGAAUGUUGUUCGGAGUCCCGGAUGAGAUCACGGACAUCACGAGGGUUUCCGGAAUGGUCCGGAAACAAAGAUUGAUAUAUAGGAUGACCUCAUUUGAUUACCGGAAGGUUUUCGGAGUUACCGGGAAUAUACCGGGAAUGACGAAUGGGUUCCUCGGAAUGUACCAGGAAUGACGAAUGGGUUCCGGGUGUUCACCGGGGGGGCAACCCACCCCGGGGAAGCCCAUAGGCCUUGGGGGUGGCGCACCAGCCCUUAGUGGGCUGGUGGGACAGCCCAAUAAGGCCCUAUGCGCCAUAGGAAGAAAAUCAAAGAGAAAAAGGAAAAAAGAAAAGGGGAGGUGAGAAAAAGGGGAAGGACUCCACCUUCCAAACCUAGUUGGAUUCGGUUUGGAAGGGGAGGACUCCCCCCCUUGGCUCGACCGACCCCCAAGGCAAGGCCCCCCUCUCCCACCUAUAUAUACGGAGGUUUUAGGGUUGAUUUGAGACAACUUUGCCACGGCAGCCCGACCACAUACCACCAUGGUUUUACCUCUAGAUCGCGUUUCUGCGGAGCUCGGGUGGAGCCCUGCUGAGAUUAGAUCACCACCAAACUCCGGAGCGCCGUCAUGCUGCCCGAGAACUCAUCUACCUCUCCGUCUCUCUUGCUGGAUCAAGAAGGCCGAGAUCAUCGUCGAGCUGUACGUGUGCUGAACGCGGAGGUGCCGUCCGUUCGGCACUAGAUCGUGGGACGGAUCGCGGGACGGUUUGCGGGGCGGAUCGAGGGACGUGAGGACGUUCCACUACAUCAACCGCGUUUCUUAACGCUUCUGCUGUGCGAUCUACAAGGGUACAUAGAUCAAAUAUCCCCUCUCGUAGAUGGACAUCACCAUGAUAGGUCUUCGUGCGCGUAGGAAAAUUUUUGUUUCCCAUGCGACGUUCCCCAACAACUUGUGGGUCAUCAAGACUCUUUUCUGGCGCCGUUGCCGGGGAGUGAAGCGCCUUUGGUAAGUGGAAAUUGGUAAGGAAACAAUUUUAUACUGUGCUGAAAUUUAUUGUCACUUGUCACUAUGGAAACUCUUCCUUUGAGGAGUUUGUUCGGGGUAUCUUCACCAUGAACGGAAGCACGAGGAUUUGCUCCUCAACCUGAGGUACCUACUGAAAAUAUCUUUUAUAAAAUUCCUUUGGGUAUGCUUGAGAAAUUGCUGGCUAAUCCUUUUACAGGAGAUGGAUCUUCACAUCCAGACUUUCAUCUAAUCUAUGUAGAUGAAGUUUGUGGUUUAUUUAAGCUUGCAGGUUUGCCCGAGGAUGAGGUAAAGAAGAAACUCUUUCCUUUAUCUUUGAAGGAUAAGGCAUUGACAUGGUAUAGGCUAUGUGAUGAUACUGGAUCAUGCAGCUACAAUCGGUUGAAAUUGGAAUUUCAUCAAAAGUUCUAUCCCAUGCAUUUAGUAUAUCAUGAUCGGAACUUUAUUUAUAACUUUUGGCCUCGUGAUAGGGAAAGCAUAGCUCAAGCUUGGGGGAGGCUUAAAUCAAUGCUAUAUUCAUGCCCCAAUCAUGAGCUCUCGAGAGAAAUCAACACUCAAAACAUUUAUGCUCGGAUUUCUCAUGAAGAUCGUACCAUGCUUGAUACUUCUUGUGCCGGUUCUUUUAUGAAGAAGAAUAUUGAUCACAAGUGGAAUUUAUUGGAGAGAAUCAAACGCAACUCUGGAGAUUGGGAGCUGGAGGAAGGUAAGGACUCAGGUAUGAAUUUCUAUUUUGAUUGCGUUAAAUCUUUUGUUGAGACAAACACUUCUAGAGAGCGCUAAGUAUGGACUUGACUCUGAGAUAGUAGCUUCUCUUUGUAAAUCUUUUGCUGCUCAUGUUGAUCUUCCCAAAGAGAAGUGGUUUAAAUAUCAUCCUCCUGUAGAAAGCAACAUAGCCAAAACCAAUCUAGUUGAGGAGAAAAUCAUAGCUUUUAGUGAUCCUGUUGUUCCUUGUGCUUACACUGAGAAACCACCAUACCCUGCUAGGAUGAAGGAUUAUUCUAAAGCUCCAACUGUGAUACGUAGGGGUUACAUUAGACCACUUGCACCCCCUGAAGAGAUUAGAGUUGAACCUAGUGUUGCUAUUAUCAAAGAUCUCUUAGCCAAAGAGAUAGAUGGGCAUGUUAUCAAAUUCUGUGAGGACUCCGCUAGAAUUGCUAAACCUCACGCGAAAGACAAGCACGGACCUGUAGUUGGCCUGCCCGUUGUUUCUGUUAAGAUAGGAGAUCACUGUUACCAUGGUUUAUGUGAUAUGGGAGCUAGUGUUAGUGCAAUACCCCGUUCUCUAUAUGAUGAAAUCAAAGAUGAGAUUGCACCAGCUGAGAUAGAACCCAUUGAUGUCACUAUCACGCUAGCUAAUAGAGACACUAUAUGCCCUUUGGGAAUUGUGAGAGAUGUAGAAGUCCUGUGUGGUAAGACGAAGUAUCCUACUGAUUUCCUCGUCCUUGGUACUACACAAGAUAGCUUUUGUCCCAUCAUAUUCGGUAGACCCUUUCUCAACACUAUCAAUGCUCACAUUGAUUGCAUUAAGCAGACUGUCAUAGUAAGUUUCGAGGGUGUGUCUCAUGAAUUUAACUUCUCCAAGUUUGGAAGACAACCCCAUGAAAGAGAUUCAUCUGGUAGGGAUGAAAUCAUUGCUCUUUCCUCUAUUGCCAUACCUCCUACGAAUCCUUUAGAGCAAUAUCUGCUUGAGCAUGAAAAUGAUAUGCAUACGGAGGAGAGAGAUGAGAUAGAUAGAAUUGUCUUAGAACAAUGUCCUAUUCUCAAGAAUAAUCUGCAUGUUGAACUGCUUGGGGAUCCUCCCCCACCAAAGGGUGAUCCUGUGUUCGAGCUUAAACAGUUGCCUGAUACUCUUAAGUAUGCCUAUCUUGAUGAGAAGGAGAUAUAUCCUGUCAUUAUUAGUGCUCUCCUCUCAGAGCGUGAAGAGAAGAAGUUACUAAAAACUCUGAGGAAGCACCGCGCUGCUAUUGGAUAUACUCUUGAUGAUCUUAAGGGUAUUAGUCCUACUCUAUGUCAGCACAAGAUUAAAACCGAUCCUGACUUUAAACCAGUUGCUGAUCAUCAAAGGAGAUUAAAUCCUAAGAUGAAAGAGGUCGUUAGAAAAGAAAUAUUAAAGCUUCUGGAAGCAGGAAUCAUUUAUCCUAUUGCUCAUAGUGAUUGGGUAAGUCCAGUACAUUGCGUACCUAAGAAGGGAGGUAUCACCGUCGUUCCUAAUGAUAAGGAUGAACUAAUCCCACAAAGGAUUAUUACCGGCUAUAGAAUGGUGAUAGACUUCCGGAAACUGAACAAGGCAACCAGGAAAGAUCAUUAUCCUUUGCCGUUCAUCGACCAAAUGCUAGAAAGGCUAUCAAAGCACACACACUUUUGCUUUCUAGACGGUUAUUCAGGUUUCUCGCAAAUACCUGUUGCAUAAUUUGAUCAAGAGAAAACCACCUUCACCUGCCCUUUCGAUACCUUUGCCUAUAGAUGUAUGCCUUUUGGCUUAUGUAAUGCACCUGCCACCUUUCAAAGAUGUAUGAUGGCUAUAUUCUCUGACUUUUGUGAAAAGAUUGUCGAGGUUUUCAUGGAUGACUUCUCCAUUUACGGGUCUUCCUUUGAUGAUUGCCUCAGCAACCUUGAUCGAAUCUUACAGAGAUGCGAAUAAACCAACCUCGUCUUGAAUUGGGAGAAGUGCCACUUUAUGGUUAAUGAAGGUAUCGUCUUAGGACACAAAAUCUCUGAAAGAGGCAUUGAAGUUGAUAAGGCUAAGGUUGAUGCAAUUGAGAAAAUGCCUUGCCCCACAGAUAUCAGAGGUAUACGAAGUUUCCUAGGUCAUGCUGAUUUCUAUAGAAGGUUCAUUAAAGACUUCUCUAAGAUUUCUAGGCCUCUUACCAACCUCUUGCAGAAGGAUGUUCCUUUUGUUUUUGAUGAGGAUUGUGAGGAAGCCUUCGAAAUACUUAAGAAGGCUUUGAUAACCGCACCUAUUGUUCAACCACCUGACUGGAACUUUCCCUUUGAAAUCAUGUGUGACGCUAGUGAUUAUGCUGUUGGUGUUGUUCUAGGACAAAGAGUUGACAAGAAGUUGAAUGUCAUUCACUACGCUAGUAAAACUCUAGACAGUGCCCAAAGGAACUAUGCCACUACGGAGAAGGAAUUUUUAGCACUCGUGUUUGCAUGUGAAAAAAUCAGAUCUAACAUAGUUGACUCCAAGGUCACUAUUCACUCUGAUCAUGCUCCUAUUAAGUACCUUAUGGAGAAGAAGGACGCUAAGCCUAGGCUUAUCAGAUGGGUUCUCCUGCUACAGGAAUUUGAUUUGCACGUCAUUGACCGAAAGGGUGCUGAUAACCCUGUAGCAGAUAACUUGUCUAGGCUAGAGAAUGUCCUUGAUGACCCACUACCAAUUGAUGACAGCUUUCCUGAUGACCAAUUAAAUGUCAUCCGCACUUCACUUAGUGCACCAUGGUAUGCCGAUUAUGCAAACUAUAUCGUAGCCAAAUACAUACCACCCAGUUUCACCUAUCAACAAAAGAAGAAAUUCUUCUUUGAUUUGAGACACUACUUUUGGGAUGAUCCUCACCUUUAUAAGGAAGGAGUAGAUGGUGUUAUUAGACGUUGUGUGCCUGAACAUGAACAGGGACAGAUCCUGCAGAAGUGUCAUUCCGAAGCCUACGGAGGACACCACGCUGGAGAUAGAACUGCCCAUGAGGUAUUGCAAUCAGGUUUCUAUUGGCCCACUCUCUUCAAGGAUGCUCGUAAGUUUGUCUUGUCUUGUGACAAAUGCCCAAGGAUAGGGAACAUCAGUAAGCGUCACAAGAUGCCUAUGAACUAUUCACUUGUCAUUGAACCAUUUGAUGUCUGGGGCUUUGAUUAUAUGGGACCCUUCCCGAGUUCCAGUGGGUACACUCACAUCUUAGUUGUUGUGGAUUACGUUACUAAGUGGGUAGAAGCUAUCCCCACUAAAAAUGCUGAUCACCACAACUCUAUUAAGAUGCUUAAAGAAGUUAUAUUCCCAAGAUUUGGAGUCCCUAGAUACUUGAUGACUGAUGGCGGUUCACACUUCAUUCAUGGUGUUUUCCGCAAGAUGCUAGCUAAGUAUGAUGUCAACCAUAGAGUUGCAUCUCCUUAUCAUCCUCAGUCUAGUGGUCAAUUGGAGUUGAGUAAUAGGGAGAUCAAGUUGAUCUUACAAAAGACCGUCAAUAGAUCCCGAAAGAACUGGUCUAGCAAACUUGACGAUGCACUAUGGGCUUAUAGGACUGCUUAUAAAAAUCCCAUGGGCAUGUCACCGUAUAAAAUGGUUUACGGUAAGGCCUGUCAUUUACCUCUUGAGUUGGAACACAAAGCUUAUUGGGCAAUCAAAGAGCUCAACUUUGAUUUCAAACUUGCCAGUGAGAAGCGGUUGUUUGAUAUCAGCUUGUUGGAUGAAUGGAGAGCCCAGGCAUAUGAGAAUACCACGUCGUCAAGGAAAAGGUUAAGAGAUGGCACGACAAACGAAUACAGAAACGAGAGUUCAAUGUAGGUGAUUAUGUCUUGCUAUACAAUUCUCGUUUGAGAUUCUUUGGAGGCAAGCUUCUCUCUAAAUGGGAAGGUCCCUACGUUGUCGAGGAAGUAUAUCGUUCCGGUGCCAUCAAAAUCAAUAAUACAAGGAAAUUUUCCUAGAGUGGUAAAUGGGCAAAGAAUCAAGCAUUACAUCUCUGGUACUCCCAUAAAUGUUGAGACCAAUAUCAUCAAUGUCAUAACUCCACAGGAGUACAUAAGGGAUGUUUAUCAGCCUGUUUCAGACCUUGAAAACGAAGAUGUAUCUGUUUCGGCAAGAAAUUGGACUCCGAUACUUUUCCAAUAGGAAAUUUCCUCAGUUUUGGAAUUUUUGGAAAAUUAGAAAAAUAAAAAAGCAGUCCGGAGAGCAAACGAGGAAGCCACAAGGGCCCACUCCGCCACCACCCCCUGGUGGCGGUGGGCAAGCUUGUGGGCACCUUGUGUGCCUCCCGGACUCCGUUUUCUUGCAGAGGACUCCUUCUGGCCCAGAAAAAAUCAAUAUAUAGUUGCCCGAAGGUUUUGAUCUUCAUAUCGCGUAGUUUUCCUCUGUUUUCGUUUCGAGCUUGUUUCUGCCGCAGAUCUAGAUCAUCAUGACUUCCCCAAACGCUCCUAAGGACAAGAUCUUGGAGAAGGUCAUCAAUCCCUACCUCACGGAAGUGCUAAAACACCAUCAAUCUAUCAAGAUGAGCGAGGGGAUGUUGCACAUCCGUGAUGUUGAGGGGCCUAAGAAGACCGGAAGCAUGGAGACGAGGCUCGAAGUAGUGGAGCAACAAGUCUUCAUGUGCCAAGGGAUGGUUGAGCGUGGACUCAACGCCAACCACACGAUGAUCACGGAGUUCACUAGCAAUCACAAGAUGGAUGUCAUUGAUAUCGGGAAACACCUCUCCAGACUUUACGAUAGGGUUGACCAACUUCAGGGCCAAAUCUAUGACCUGCAGAAUCAAAACUGUGAGUAUGGGUAUAGAUUUAAAUCAAUAAGGUUGGCUGCAGAUUUGAGGAUUUCGGCUACUCGUUCAUCCUGCCAUGAUGGAGCACCUAUGCCUUGGAAGACGGAGGAUCAGACUACUCCAACAACACCACCAUCAUCACCAAAGGAAGACAACUAAGCAUUGGUAUGGGCAAUCCCCUUGGCUUCUGCCGAGCUUGGGGGAGUUGCCCUGGUAUCAUAUCACCUUUAUAUCUUUUGCUUUUACCUUUGUUUUAGUUCUUUCCCUUUCAGUUUUUAUUUCUUCUUUUAGAGGAAUAAGUCUUUAGUUUUUAGUUUGAGUCUUUUGCUUUUGGUCUCUCCCCCGAUGUAUUCGAGCUUACGAGCUAUAUAAUAAAGAGUGUCUUAGUCAAAGGGCUUUGCUUUGUGCCAUGAUCAAAAGUAUGAAAAGAACGAUAGCAUGAAAGAUCAUGAGACGAUCUUAUGGAAAGUGAUAACUUCACUUAUGACACGUAUGAUGAUUGAAACUUGUCGAGAAUAAAUCAACACAUACCUCAGUCAUUGUUGCAAUUAAUAAGAAGUAAUAAGGAAAGAGAGGUUCACAUAUAAAUAUAUCAUCUUAGACACUUUCUACAAUUGUGAGCACUCACCAAACUAUUACAUGCCUAGGAGUAGAUGUUGGACAAGGAAGACAACAUAAUGAAUUGUGUUUGCUUGGUUCCAAACAAUGUUAUAUGAUUAGAGAUCCCUUAGCAUGUGACGAUUGCUUCCACCUCAUAUUAGCCAAAACUUCCGCACCAAGUAGAGAUACUACUUGUGCAUCCAUAAACCUUCAACCCAGUUUUGCCAUGAGAGUCCACCAUACCUACCUAUGGAUUGAAUAAGAUCCUUCAAGUAAGUUGUCAUCGGUGCAAGCAAUAAAAAUUGCUCUCUAAUAUGUAUGAUCUAUUAGUGUGUGGAAAAUAAGCUUUGUACGAACCUGUGAUGAGGAAGACAUAAAAGCGACAGACUGCAUAAUAAAGUUCUUUGUCACAGGAGGCAAUAUAAAGUGACGUUCCUCCGCACUAAGAGGACACGCAUUCAAACCUCAAAAGUGCAUGACAACCUCUGCUUCCCUCUGCGAAGGGCCUAUCUUGUACCUUUACUUUUACCCUUGUAAGAGUCAUGGUGAUCAUCACCAAUUCCCUUUUUGCCUUCGUCUUGGCUACCGUCACAUGCUUGGAAAAGAUCUAUAUUCAUAUAUCAACUUGGAGUUGAGUACUCAUGCUUUAUUGUUGUUGACUUUACCCUUGAGGUAAACCGUUGGGAGGAAAAACUAUAAGCCCCCAUCUUCCUCUGUGUCGAGCUGAAGCUUUGACACCAUGAGUACCACGUGAGCUAUAAAAAUUGUGGAAAACAAAAGAGAUGAUUGAGUAUGUGGGUUUGCCUUACAAGCUCUUAUUUGACUCUUUCUGAUGUUGUGAUAAAUUGCAAUUGCUUCAAUGAUUAUGGACUAUUGUUGGUUACUUCUCGGUAAGGUUUUUGCUUCAUGCUUUGCUUUGUGAAGGAAUUGUUACUUUCCCAUAAGAAUCUUUAUAUAUAUUGUUGUUCUAUGUGUGAUCAUGAUGCCCUCAUGUCUGUAUUAUGUUUUAUCGACACCUUCGUCCCUCAACAUGUGGACGUGUUUAUGGAACUUGGUUUUCGCUUGAGGACAAGCGAGGUCUAAGCUUGGGGGAGUUGAUACGUCCAUUUUGCAUCAUGUUUUCAUGUUGAUAUUUAUUGCUUCUUGGGAUGUUAUAUUACUUGUGGUGCCAUAUUUAUGCCUUUUCGCUCUUAUUUUGCAAGGAUUAUUUGAAGAGGGAGAAUUCAGGCAGCUGGAAUUCUGGACUAGAAAAGGAGCAAAUCCUAGUCCACUAUUCUGCACAUCUCCAAAUGCCCUGAAAAUUUACGUGGAUUUUUUCUGGAAUAUAUUAAAAAUACUGGGCGAAAGAACUACUGGAGGGGGGCCACCAGGGCCCCACAAGCUUGCCCACCACCACCACCCCCUGGUGGCGCACGGUAGGCUUGUGGGCAGCCCACUAGCCCACUAGCCCCCCUCUUUUGCUAUAUGAUGCGUCCUGACCUGGAAAAAAUCAUACAGGAGCUUUUUCGUGGUUUCGCCGCCACCACGGGGCGGAACUUGAGCAGAUCCAAUCUAGAGCUCUGGCAGGACAAUCCUGCCGGGGAAAUUUCCCUCCCGGAGGGGGGAAUCGUCGCCAUCUUCAUCACCAACACUCCUCUCGUCGGAGGGGAGGCAUCUUCAUCAACAUCUUCAUCAGCACCAUCUCUUCUCCAAUCCCUAGUUCAUCUCUUGUAACCAAUCUUCAUCUCGCAACUCAAAUUGGUACUUGUAAGGUUGCUAGUAGUGUUGAUUACUCUUUGUACUUGAUGCUUGUUGGAUUACUUGGUGGAAGAUUUUAUGUUCAGAUCCUUGAUGCUAUUCAUUACACCUCUGGUCAUGAUUAUGAUUAUGUCUUGUGAGUAGUUACUUUUGUUCCUGAGGACAUGGAAUAAGUCAUGCUGAUAAUAGUCAUGUGAAUUUGAUAUUCGUUCGGUAUUUUGAUAUGAUGUAUGUUGUUUUUCCUCUAGUGGUGUUAUGUGAAUGUCAACUACAUAACACUUCACCAUAUUUGGGUCUAGAGGAAGGCAUUGGAAAGUAGUAAGUAGAUGAUGGGUUGCUGGAGUGACAGAAGCUUGAACCCCAGUUUAUGCGCUACUUCGUGAGGGGUUGAUUUGGAUCCACUAGUUUAAUGCUAUGGUUAGACUUUGUCUUAAUUCUUCUUUUGUAGUUGCGGAUGCUUGCGAGAUAGGUUAAUCAUAAGUGGGAUGCUUGUCCAAGUAAGGGCAGUACCCAAGUGCCGGUCCACCCACAUAUCAAACUAUCAAAGUAACGAAUGCGAAUCAUAUGAACAUGAUGAAACUAGUAUGACAGAAAUUCCCGUGUGUCCUCGGGAGCGUUUUCCUCCUAUAAGACUUUGUUCAGGCUUGUCCCUUGCUACAAAAGGGAUUGGGCCACUUGCUGCACCGUUGCUACUACUUGUUACUUGUUACUCUUUGCUUGCUACGUUUCACCUCGCUACACAAUCACUUGUUACCGCUACUUUCAGUGCUUGCAGUUAUUACCUUGCUGAAAUCCGUUUAUCAGAGCCUUUUGCUCCUCGUUGGGUUCGACACUCUUACUUAUCGAAAUGACUACGAUUGAUCCCCUAUACUUGUGGGUCAUCAAGUUGCGUGAUCACAUGGUCAUAGGAACAGAAACAUUGACAUGCAGAAAAAUAGUAGCAAUAAACUGACACGAUCAUAUGCUACAUUUAUAGUUCGGUUCUUGUCCAUCACAUCAUUCUCCCAAUGAUGUGAUCCCGUCAUCAAGUGACAACACUUGCCUAUGGCCAGGAAACCUUGACCAUCUUUGAUCAACGAGCUAGUCAACUAGAGGCUCACUAGGGACAGUGGGUUGUCUAUGUAUCCACACAUGUAUUUGAGUUUCCAAUCAAUACAAUUCUAGCAUGGAUAAAUAAAUGAUUAUUACGAACAAGGAAAUAUAAUAAUAACCAAUUUAUUAUUGCCUCUAGGGCAUAUUUCCAACAAUUUCUAUGUAAAAGGUGCGGAUAGUACCUCAUUCUCGUCUAUCCCAAGCUGAGGUAUGUCACCGACCCUAUGCUCAUCCAUGCAUACAAAAUUAUCCACUGGAGCCCUGAAUAAUUUUUUAUAGUAUUCAAAGAUAUAUUGUUUGAGAUUCUCAUGUCCCACAAUUGUACCCUCAUCUUGUUCUAGCUGGAUAAUUUUUUUAUUCCUAUGCUUUCCAUUAGCUAUUAGAUGGAAAUGUUGUGUGUUGUCAUCUCCUUGUACCACUUGGAGGACUUUCGCUCUUAGUGCCCACUUCAACUCCUCCUCUCUGAGUAGUUGUUUGAGCUUUAGUUCAGCCUCCAUUUUUCAAUGACCUCUCAUUGUCACCUAAUAACGUUUGUUCGGCUUUUAUGUCUAGUGUGUUUAUAAGUUUAUAAGUUCGACAAGCCUUUGUUUCUUUUUCUUAUAAAUUACACUAUCGUGCUUUUCCCAACCCCUUAAGAAUUGCCUCAGGUGUCUUAUCUUAUUUUGCCACCUGUCAACAUUCGAGUCACCUUCUGUGAAAUAGCCCAUUCUCAAACCCGUCCCUUUCAAACCAUCCCAAUUCGAAAGAAAAAAGGUUUUUAUUUCCCACAUGUGUUGCUUCUCGCGAGUCUACAAACAGUGGGGUAUGAUCAGAGAUAGCUCUUGGUAACUCUCAAACUGUGACGAGAGGGAAUUUCUGCUCCCAUUCCACACUCAUGAGAACCCGGUCCAACUUCUCAAAAGUUGGGUUAGGUAAAGAGUUUGCCCAAGUAAACUUUCUCCCUGAUAGCUCAAUCUCCCACAAAUUAAGGCUCUCGAUGAUUGAAUUAAACAUAAAUGACCAUCUUCCAUCAAAGUUAUCACUGUUUUUCUCAUCCUGCCUCCAGAUUAUAUUAAAAUCGCCCCCUACUAAAAUCGGCAGUCUCUCGUCCCCGCAGAUUCGGACAAGGUCAGCCAAGAAAUCUCUCUUGAACUCAGGCUGGGCCGCCCCAUGCACAUCUACGAGUGCCCAUUGGAACCCGUCAUCUUUGGAGCGAACUCAAAAUUUGACUGCAAAGUCUCCAUACACCACUUUCGUAGUUGUGGUGUCUCGCACCGAACCCCAAGCAAGAUCCCACCUGAUCUUCCUCUUGGAGGUAGACAAUGCCAGUCAAAUUCAGAACCUCCAUACAACGUGUUUAAAAACGAAGCUAUAUAGUUAUCUCUCCCAGUUUCCAUCAAUGCAACGAAAUCCAAUUUGUGCUCAAUAGUUGUUUCAGCUAGGAAUCUUCUUUUAGCCAAGUCUGCUAGACCUCUGCUAUUCCAAAAUGUUCCUUUCAUCGCUCAUCAUGAAAUUUCUUAGCCGUUUUAAAUCUAGCACUACGACGCACAGCUGAAACAGGAUAGACUUUUCUCUUCCAGGUUCUUUUUGGCCUAUCCUGAACCUCCGACCGAUCCACAUAACCGUUGGACUCUUGUGCGUUAGCAUUCGUUUGUGGAGGAGCCUCAUACCCCUCCUGAACGAUAUCAUUUGUGUCUUCAAGCAAAAGGGGGGUGGCACAAGAUCCUCACAUAAACGCUCUAAGGCUCCCAAACCCAAUGCAUUUAUAUCAGAAUCAUUCAUAGGUUUUACGGCUGCAAUUUUUCUGACCAUCUCAAUUGCCCUCUCUGCCUCUAAGUCUAACAUGUCAUUUACCGAUCUAGAUAUCUCCUGGUCUACCAAACGCUAGAAUAAGGCCUAGUAACGGGCCCGACCCAUGCCAUUUUGGCCCAUGACUGCAACCAAACACACCCUUAAGUAACUUCUACAAUAUCCAUCCCCAACUUCCAGAAAUUCUAACACUUAAAAAAUCAAAAUCAAACUAUUGGCAUUUAAAACUUUCAUACAUUUCAUUUCUGAAAAAAAUGGUCUUUUAGAUUUCGAAAUAUCAGUAUUAUAUUUUUUACAAAAUUUAACUUUAAGAAUUUUCAAAAUUAUAAGGAUUCAAAAUUCAAAUGUUUUAGCACUUAAAAAAAUUCAAACUUUAAAAAAAUUGAACUUUCAAAUGUUUUGAAUUUUAAGAAGUGUGAACUUUCAUUUUUUUAUAAAGGAUGGGUUUUAUUUACUCAAAAUAAAGCAUCAAGAGCAUACAAAUACAAUAAGAACACACCCGGCCACUUUAUAACUAGGAUGCACACAACCAACUCAAACUCACACACACAAAAAUACGAUCGGUAAAUAGCAAAGUCAUAUAAGACCAAAGCUAUGUGCGCGGUUGGAAAAAGAAACCAAAGCGACCAUAUUGGCAAUGGACAAACUACAACAAUGACCAUAUCUGCACCAACAAUUUCAUUACACCACACGGACAACGAGGUUCCUCAACAAUGACACCUUCAGAAAGGGAGCGACGCUCAAAUGCCGCUAUCAUCGGAUCCAACCAUCCAAGGUCAGAUGCAAGAUUUUCACUCUGAGAAUCAGUCCAAGCAUGUCCGAGCAAUUCCUUCAAUAAGGUAAUGGCGUAAAAACAUCGCCAUUGCCAGGUACAGCCAACUCGAGUUGGACCUAGGCUUUCACCCGGGAGCUCAAGACCGGGUGCUCGAGAAGCACCACCAUCGAAGUCACUAUGUGUUGUUGCCACUACUUUUCCACAAUCUCAGUAGCUAUAUGCGAUGUGUGACCGCUGAUGCUGCACAACCAUCCCUCUACAUCAAGCCAUCAUCAAUAGUUUCAAUCUCACCGUUGAAGUCAACCAUCGGAUCUCCAAGAUCAAUCAUGAAGACCUUUUGAUGGAUACUACAUCAAUCCGCCGCGAGACCGCCACCGUAGUCAUGGUGGUCACCACACGUUCGUCGUCACGCCCCUAGCAGACCUAAAGGUCCACACCAAGGAACCACGGGUCCACACGCAUGGAGCCAUGGAUGUGUGUGUGGAUCAUGAAACGACCAAUCCAUGGCCAUGGCCAUUAGAUGAGACUAUCCCUGGCUGAUGGCAGGUGUCCAAGCCCUGCCGACAUGGCCACUACACCAUGGGCGCCAUCCCACAUGAAGGAGCCACCAGGCGGAGCAGCGACCACAAGUGAGGCGAGAUCUACACCAGCAAUGGCUGGAUCAUCCAGGUAACUGUCCGCUGGAUCUGUGGUGACAUCGUUGGAGGAAGCACGGGGUAGAGAGUGUGAAUCUGGGUUGGGGGAGAGGGGAAGGUCGGGGAAGAAGAUCCCUGUGGCGGUUGAGUCCCGCCGCCGCUGACAAACUGUCAUCGAUGAUGACGACGAGGAUGGAACAUCGGAGGCGGCCUCGAGUGCUAGGGUUUCUCGCCCCCGGUGUCGCCCUGGAGCAACACGGGAGGCCGAUGGCGAUUUCAUAGGAGAGAGAGAGAGAAGGUUGAGAAAUAGAAUCACAUGGUUGGGCAUGUGAGGAAAGAGAGAGAUGGAAAGAAGCACAUGGAUGAGGCCCCCUCGUCCUAUCUACCACAUGGUAACCUGACACAGUCACAUGCAAUGCUUGCGGCAAUGACCAUGGGCACAGUUCCCACAAGAGAGCAUUCUUAGAGUAAUAGCGAGUCUCAUCCUCAUGUUGGAUGCCUAUAUAAAGCUUCUCCUUUCCAACAUUCAUCAUACGAAUUGGCCAAAAUUUCUUUCUCAUUUGUGAUCUUUCAUCACAUUCAACUUUCCUUUGUAUAUAUUGUUGCUAAGCUUCAAAUUCUAAUCAGCUGGAGCUAAGCAAUGAAUUCUUCAUGCCAUCGAGCAUUCCUCGUGAGGAACAUCUUUUGUACUUUGGAAUGAGUGGUAUCGAGAAAUUAGUCAGGACGACUUUCUGAGGCUGAGGCGCCGCUUUUUUCUGUUCUCGUCUCUGAGACGUUGAGGUGGUAGACAUUUAUGAUAAGUGCAUUUCUUGUUGAGAAUAGCAUCGAUAAUCAUGUCUAGUCUAACAACUUGCUCAUUUAGGACUACCCUGGACAGUGCAACAAGUAAAAUACCAAAUCCUUGUACAAAAACAAGUUGUUGCCCUGUGGUGAGGAGUUGAAGCUAUGGCAUGAACUCGUCCAUGUGUGCGGUAUUUCUCCUUGUUGUUUCCAUCGUCUCUAGAAAUCGCUAAAAAGAUCAAAAACAAUAUCAAACCGUUGACACUAUGUGUCUACCAUCUCACACAAAUUCGAACCCAUAUCCAUCGCAGAUCUCCAAAAACAAACAAACAAGACGGAUCCAGUGUUGAACAGCAUAGCAACUAAUUCAAAUCAGCACAUGAACACAUCAUAUCAUCAGCACCAACACAAGAUUGUUUUUUUUUCUCUUUUCUUCAAACAAUAUCCUGAUUAAGGUUUAAAUAUUCUUGUGGCGUUGUAAAUACAUGUUGUGUGUCAGAGACAUAAUUCUUUUUCAAAUAAAAAAACAUAACUUUUUUUACCACAAAUUUUUCUAGGCUUAUGUGUGUGUAUCUUCCUUGUUUCAGUUCCAAGUGACAAGAGGCAAACUUGUCACGGUUGACUGAAUAGAACAGUAGCAAUCGACCUGCCCGGAGCUUCUAUUUUUUGUAGGUGAUUUUCUCUGUUAAGAGUGACUUCUUCUUUUUUGAGAGUUUUGUUAAGAGUGACAUGAAAUCUGCAUAUGGCGAUCGAGCACGCAUGCCGGCGAUCCCACACGGCGCACCGCAGCCACAAGCCGAUCGCCCCCACAAAAUCUGCCCGACGGCUCCCACCGGGAUGGGAUUCCCCGGUGCCAAUGGCGCGCGCCCACCUCACCCCCUCUUAUCCCCGCCUCACCCACUCGCGCCACGCCCCUUAUCCCCUCCUCUUACAAACCCACACAAACUAAUCAUCGCCCACCACCCUCCAACGAUCACCAACCAAAACCCCUCCACACGCCCGCCCGCGCGCGCCACGGACGCAGCAAUGGCCGCCCUCGCCGCCUCCAUCGCCACCUCCACGGCGUUCGCCGCGAAGCCGCGCCUGUCCCGCCCGCCGGCGCGCCUCUCCGUCUCCUGCUCCGCGUCCAGCGGCGACAACAACAACAGCACCGCCACCCCCUCGCUCUCCGCCUCCAUCAAGACCUUCUCGGCCGCGCUGGCGCUCUCCUCCGUGCUCCUCUCCUCCGCCGCCACCUCCCCGCCCCCCGCGGCUGCCGACAUCGCCGGCCUGACCCCGUGCAAGGAGUCCAAGGCCUUCGCCAAGCGGGAGAAGCAGUCGGUCAAGAAGCUCAACUCGUCGCUCAAGAAGUACGCGCCCGACUCCGCCCCGGCGCUCGCCAUCCAGGCCACCAUCGACAAGACCAAGCGCCGGUUCGAGAACUACGGCAAGUUCGGCCUGCUCUGCGGCUCCGACGGCCUGCCCCACCUCAUCGUCAGCGGCGACCAGCGGCACUGGGGCGAGUUCAUCACCCCCGGCGUGCUCUUCCUCUACAUCGCCGGCUGGAUCGGCUGGGUCGGACGCAGCUACCUCAUCGCCGUCAGCGGCGAGAAGAAGCCCGCCAUGAGGGAGAUCAUCAUCGACGUCGAG
rnacentral:lncRNA from 1 species